CAGUCGCCGCGGUAAUACGUAGGGUGCAAGCGUUAAUCGGAAUUACUGGGCGUAAAGCGUGCGCAGGCGGUUCGCUAAGACAGAUGUGAAAUCCCCGGGCUUAACCUGGGAACUGCAUUUGUGACUGGCGGGCUAGAGUAUGGCAGAGGGGGGUAGAAUUCCAUGUGUAGCAGUGAAAUGCGUAGAGAUGUGGAGGAAUACCGAUGGCGAAGGCAGCCCCCUGGGCCAAUACUGACGCUCAUGCACGAAAGCGUGGGGAGCAAAUAGGAUUAGAUACCCCCGUAGUCCCUGUCUCUUAUAC
rnacentral:rRNA from 1 species